CGGGACACGUGGUAUCCUGUCUGAAUAUGGGGGGACCAUCCUCCAAGGCUAAAUACUCCUGACUGACCGAUAGUGAACCAGUACCGUGAGGGAAAGGCGAAAAGAACCCCGGCGAGGGGAGUGAAAAAGAACCUGAAACCGUGUACGUACAAGCAGUGGGAGCACGCUUAGGCGUGUGACUGCGUACCUUUUGUAUAAUGGGUCAGCGACUUAUAUUCUGUAGCAAGGUUAACCGAAUAGGGGAGCCGAAGGGAAACCGAGUCUUAACUGGGCGUUAAGUUGCAGGGUAUAGACCCGAAACCCGGUGAUCUAGCCAUGGGCAGGUUGAAGGUUGGGUAACACUAACUGGAGGACCGAACCGACUAAUGUUGAAAAAUUAGCGGAUGACUUGUGGCUGGGGGUGAAAGGCCAAUCAAACCGGGAGAUAGCUGGUUCUCCCCGAAAGCUAUUUAGGUAGCGCCUCGUGAAUUCAUCUCCGGGGGUAGAGCACUGUUUCGGCAAGGGGGUCAUCCCGACUUACCAACCCGAUGCAAACUGCGAAUACCGGAGAAUGUUAUCACGGGAGACACACGGCGGGUGCUAACGUCCGUCGUGAAGAGGGAAACAACCCAGACCGCCAGCUAAGGUCCCAAAGUCAUGGUUAAGUGGGAAACGAUGUGGGAAGGCCCAGACAGCCAGGAUGUUGGCUUAGAAGCAGCCAUCAUUUAAAGAAAGCGUAAUAGCUCACUGGUCGAGUCGGCCUGCGCGGAAGAUGUAACGGGGCUAAACCAUGCACCGAAGCUGCGGCAGCGACGC
rnacentral:rRNA from 1 species